UACGGAGGGUGCAAGCAUUGAUCGGAAUUACUGGGCGUAAAGGGUGCGUAGGCGGCAGGACAAGUCGGAUGUGAAAUUCCGGGGCUCAACCCCGGAGCUGCAUUUGAAACUGUCCAGCUAGAGUAUAGUUAGGGUAAACGGAAUUCCACGUGUAGCGGUGAAAUGCGUAGAUAUGUGGAAGAACACCAGUGGUGAAGACGGUUUACUGGGCUAUAACUGACGCUGAGGCACGAAAGCAUGGGGAGCAAACAGG
rnacentral:rRNA from 1 species